GCAUGUCGGAUAAUCCAAUCUCAGUAAAUUUAAAGGGGCAAAAAGAAAAGAAAAACUACAAAUUGUGAGCACAAUAAAAUACAAAUCCGUACAGGAAGUCAGGCCUCAAGAUUAAAGAAAAACAAAAACAGUAAAACCGAUCAAAUAUAUCACAGUAAAUGAGUACAGAAGAAGUUUGAAAUGAUACAAAGCAAUGAUUUUGGCUAAUGGCAACCUCAUUUUACAUAUAAGAAUGACGCACAAAAUAAAGAUACAAAAUUCCCAAUUGACUUCAUCCAAAAAGGGGUGAUUUUGGCAGAUGGGCACCUCAAUCUAUAAAGAACGAUGCACAAAAUAGAAAUAAAAAAUUCCCAAUUGAUUUACAUACAAAAAGAGAUGGUUUUGGCAGAUGGGCACACAAAAUAGAAUACUAACUCCUGAUUGAUUUACAUACAAAAAAACAUGAUUUUGGCAGAUGAACACCCCCGAAUUAUAUAGAUGUACAAAAUUCCCAAUUGAUUUUGAAUACAGAAGUGAAUAACUUUGGCAGAUGGUUGCCUCAGUUUAUGUACAAGAAUGAUGGACAAAAUAAACACACAAAAUUUUCAGUUGAUUUUCAUACUAAAAACCAUGAUUUCGGCAGAUUAUAUAGGAGUACAAAAUGCCUAAUUUAGCAGAAAUACACCUCAAUUAAGAGCAAAAUAAACAAAAUAAAAACCAAACCGCACUAUAUCAAAAAAUUAUAAGCUGGGCACCUCAGAUUUGGAGAUGGAUUUCUCUACAACUUUCUUCUUCUUGACAGAUGAAUCAAUCCUGACCUUUGAUGACGAUGACCCAUCACCACUAGAUUUGAUCUCUGAAGCCAUGGAUUGAUUUUAACUGUGUAGACAGGCUGCAAUUUUGACCUGUUAAAUCCAAUUUCUCUAUCUAGAUUUGCAGACCUGUCAAUUGAAUACGCAUCGCAUGAUAAAUCUCUAUCUUGUGUAAUGAAAUAAAAAAUGGAAAAAGAAAGCAGAAUGGCGUGCUGGGUUUUUAACUGCUGCCAAUAAAGUCAUGAACCCAGUUACCCAAAUCUACUGUUGCAUUGCAACUUGCAUGUGGUGAUCAUGUUAAAUUUGCCCUUGUUCUUAAAAAUAAAUAAAUUACCUUUUCAAAUAUAUAUAAUAAC
rnacentral:lncRNA from 1 species